rnacentral:sRNA from 1 species
GUCAAUAACCCACGCCCGAGAUAAAUCUCGGACGGGGCUUGUGAAAACAGAUAUGUUUUUAUAAGUCACGUUUUUAUUUAUCGAAGGCGUUGACCGUAAGGUCAGAUUGAUUAGCCUCAGUGUGCAGCGGAGCCAGUCGACUGUUUCAUAUAGCCAGGAACACUUCCAGCACACUACGUUACCGGUAAAAUAGGCACUCUGUGGAUGCUCCUCAAGUCCCAGACUCUGC